AAGCGCGAGCAUGGCGCGAAGACGGCCGAAGAACGUCGGCGUGGUCCGGCCCGCAGGCGAGGCCGGCAGCAAGGCUGCGAACGGCCGUGCGAUGCGGGCCGCAAUCAUGCUGACCCGGAACAGGCCGGGGCGAGGNNNNAACAUAAGCGAGGACGCCGCGCAGAAACCGCUCCGGCAGCGGCCGCGCAUACUCUUCCUCG
rnacentral:misc_RNA from 1 species